UUGGGUAAAGCUAUAUUCACUUACUGAUAAAUUGGUAAAUAACUUUUUUUCUGUAAUUUCUUUAUUUCAGAUGCUUUUAGGUUAAUACGAGAAGACUGUAUUGACAGACUGUAAUUUACAAGUAAUAAUGUGAAAAAUUCAAGAAGAUAUAGAGACAUCAAAGUUGACAAAUGGGAAUAAGGCAGAGUACCUGGACUCUGAAAUCUCAGCUUUAGAAAUCUCUUAUCCUUGCCCACCUUGUGGAAACACUGUCAUUUUCUGAUAUCAGGAAGAUCUGGCAGAUGGUCUUAGUCCACUCCUGUGCCAAGAAC
rnacentral:lncRNA from 1 species